AGAGAGAGACAUGCGCGCAUAUCAAUAAGCGGAGGAAAAGAAACUAACAAGGAUUCCCUUAGUAACGGCGAGUGAAGCGGGAAGAGCUCAAAUUUGAAAUCUUCAAGGUUUUACCUUGACGAAUUGUAGUUUAAAGAAGUGUUUUCUGUUGAAGUUUUGGUAAAAGUUCUUUGGAAUAGGACAUCAUAGAGGGUGAGAAUCCCGUAUUUGACCAUUAUUUUCAGCUUUGUGAUACACUUUCAAAGAGUCGGAUUGUUUGGGAAUGCAGUCCAAAAUGGGUGGUAAAUUUCAUCUAAAGCUAAAUAUUGGCGAGAGACCGAUAGCGAACAAGUACCGUGAGGGAAAGAUGAAAAGAACUUUGAAAAGAGAGUUAAACAGUACGUGAAAUUGUCAAAAGGGAAGCGUUUGACACCAGUGUUGUUUUCUCGAAAAUCAAUUAAAAAUGGCUCGAUUUUGUAUUGUUGAGACCUUAAAAGCUCACUGUACAUUUUUCGUGUCUUUUUUAAUGCACUUUUCGUUUAACAAGUCAACAUCAGUUUCUUUUGUUGUAAAAGGGUCAUUGGAAGGUGGCUUUCUUUUCGGAGAAAGUGUUUAUAGCCUUUGGCCUCUGCAAUCGGAAGAGACUGAGGUCUGCAGCGUAGACUCUUCGGGGUUAGAUACAUUUGUGCUAAGUUAUAGCUUUUUAUAGACAACUUGUUGACUAUAAUUAGUCUUGUAGCUUACUCGCUUAUGCUAUUUUACCUACGCUUAGGAUGUUGAAGAUGUAGCACAUCAU
rnacentral:rRNA from 1 species